rnacentral:rRNA from 1 species
AUACGGAGGUUCCGAGCGUUAUCCGGAUUUAUUGGGUUUAAAGGGUGCGCAGGCGGCCAUUUAAGUCAGCGGUUAAAUCGCGGGGCUCAACCCCAUUCUGCCGUUGAUACUGGGUGGCUUGAUUGCGGUCGAGGUUGGCGGAAUUCGUUGUGUAGCGGGGAAAUGAAUAGAUAUGACGAAGAACACCGAUUGCGUAGGCAGCUGACCAGACCGCAAAUGACGCUCAUGCACGAAAGUGCGGGGAUCGAACAGGAUUAGAUACCCUGGUAGUCCGCACAGUAAACGAUGAAUACUUGUUUUCGGCGAUAUAAUGUCGGAGGCAAAGCGAAAGCGAUAAGUAUUCCACCUGGGGAGUACGCCGGCAACGGUGAAACUCAAAGGAAUUGACGGGG